rnacentral:tRNA from 1 species
GGGCCUGUAGUCGAGUGGUAAGACGUUCCCUUGACGUGGGAAAGAUCCGGGGUCCGAUUCCCUGCGGGCCCA